rnacentral:lncRNA from 1 species
GAGUGCUGCUCUGGGGUGCUUUUCAAAAUCCAUGCGUCUCAUGAAUUAUGCUGCCAGAUCUAGGAGGAGCCAGUCCUCUUUGGAACUAGGUGAACUGGGCUAAUCAGAAACAGGCCCAUCUCAUCCGCCAGCCAGUUUGCUCCAGGGCCAGAGGAAAGCCGGGGCCUCUGGCUCCCACAUCCCAUGUGGCAACCAACCAUCAGGUUAUGCUUGGCUUUGCAACGAUCAGGAAAGGCCUCACGUCUGCCUAACUGCAAAACAAUUUGGUUGGCUUAUAAAUUGCUGCCUCUAUCAUGUGCUUCUGAAUUAAAAGGAACGGAUGGUUUUUAAAGGUUUAUCUGUUUCAUUAUUAAUGCGGAAUGACCUCCUGCUGACAAAUUUCGAUUUUCACACGGUUUCUUUGCUGAUGCAGUAUCUCUGCCACCCAUGCUCUAGGGCAGCGUGGAGCCACUUCAGAGCGUGCCUUUUGUGACCCGGCGCCCAGCAGGGUGUUCUUUUCUGAGUGCAAAGAGAGAAUCCACUGACCUCAUUUGCUUCCAUCCUGUGAACCUCUCAGUGGGUUUCAGAACACCCGGGUCUGAACAGAGAAGCUUCAGAAUACUUUGUCCGACUAGAGAACUUCUUUAUGGUGGGAGGAAAAAAUGUUGCCAGUCCCACUUCCCAGACACCUGGAAUUCAUGAAGUCUGAGGACUUCUUUCAUUUUACUUUCAACUAAAAGCUCUAGCACGAAACAGCAAAGGCUCACAGAACUAAAGAUCAGGAGGUGGCCCUGUGAGAGGGUAUUCGGCCUGGAUCCCUGGUGAAACUCCAUCAUUGAGCAGGUCUGUGAUCGCCCUUGUGGUCUGCUUUCUGUAGAUAAUACUCAUAGACUAUGCUGCAUAAAUUCUCAGAUUAUUCAAAGAUGAACAAACAGUUCAAAUGGGCAGUUUUAUGUGUUUCACUCUCAACCCUUUCCUUUUUUCAGUAUGUCUCCCUCCUUUUUUCCUCUCAAGCAUAUCUACUUCAGAAAGCGUGGAAAGAAAAGAGCCUGGUGGGAAAAGUCUAUCAAGUGAUAAUGACGUGCCCUUAUGGAAAAAAUUCUGGGAUAAAACCCUCCAAAACCCCGCAAGGUGAAGCUCAUGUCAUCCAAAACCAAGGCAUGAGCCAGAGCCUAAAUAGAGGAAAGAAAAUAGAAGAGAGAAUUCUAGCGACAUGUCUGGUCAUCAUUCCAAGCAACCUGGCUGAACUUUUGCAUCGACAAACAAUUUUUUCUUGAGCAUUUUUAAAUUUACAAGCUGGUUUUCAACAAAGCUUUUCAAAAAGAAGUCUUUAUGAUGGUAAAUCUUUAAAAGAAAUGUGUUUUAGACCAAGAAAGGCAAACCUUUCAUGUCCUGUUUAGUCUCUAGCAUGCUUGUUUGCAAAACACAAGCUCCAGUCUGCAUGUUUCUGCAGUCAACUGUCUGUCUUAGAAAAUAUCUCAAAAUCAAUCUGUCCCCGUGUUUGCUUAUGAUUCUGCGGUAAUCCUCUGUUUAUAGUCACAAGUUGUCAGGAGAACAUCAUGUAAGGCAUGGUAUGAAGACUUAAGAAAUCUUGAAAUCAGAAACUUCAAUUUUCUUUCUCUUGAAGUGUUUCUAAGGGAUGAAAAAUGAGAAAGGAAAUUAGCAUCUACUGUUACCUCAUUUAAUUCCUUCAACCAUCUUCAGGGUAUUAUUGUCUCCAAAAAGAAACCAAGGUUCAGAGAAGAGGACUCACUUGCCCUGUGACCUAUGACCAGGGGUCCCACGUUGGGACCCAGAAUUCUGACUCGAACCCAGUGCUGGCUCCCCUAUGUCCCAGGGAUGGGCAGGAUAAGAUGUUCUUUAAAACUUUGUUUGUUGGGCACCUCAAAAAACCCUUAUGAAUUAUUGCUUAAGUUAUUUUGGCAUAAUAAUGUCACUAAGUCCAUGAAAAUUAAACUUUUAGAAUCUCUGUUAUAUGGCUAGAUCAAUACUAAACUACCCCUUUUUUUCCAAGUCCCUGGAAAAAGUGAAAUUAUAAGUUUUGACUACAUGGGAGAGCUUUGGUGCCUCAUACACUUGCAUUAAAUGCAGUAUCCUUGAAAAUAAUAGAAUAUGUAUUUGUGAGAGUAAAAAUUUAUACAUGCAGCAGUCCAUAAGAGAAUUAGAUCCAGAAACUACAACUUGAAAGAGUUCUAAACUCUUAGAACAAAUUGAUUUAAAUUUGAAUAGUACUGAAUAUGAAUUGAUGGAAAGUGAAUAUUUAGAACCCCCUUUUGUGAAUUUCAGUAAGCUGACAUUUGUUAGCUCCUGACGCAGUAGCUUUUCUGAGUCAAGAACUGAAGGUACCUUGAAUUACCUGACAGAUAAUCAUACAGAGAUGUGAAGUCAAAUGUCAUAUUCCAUUAAGCCUAAUCUGCAGUUGCAGGAAGGGUGGACAAUCUUGCCUAAACAUUUGACAGAUUUGGAAUGUCUCUUGCCAUAGACGUUUAGCAUGAACCAGCUUCAUUGUCCUAGUAUCUGUCACACAGAAAUGGUCCCUUGCUCGGCUUCUAAUGGAUUUGCUGCAAAGGCUGUGAGGAAUGAGUCACACUCAGGGACACGAUGACACAGGAACAGCUUCUACAACACAAUCCUCUGCAAUAGAGAAAGCUGUGCCUCUCCCCAGGGACCUGCCUAUAAAGUUGGUCUUCUUUCCACUAAGGAGGCAUUCCUGAGAGCCCCCCAUAAAUUAAGGAGAACUUCUCUAGGUAGCUACUAAAAAAUAAGGCCAACAAACUAAAUCCUUGGGAUAUGAAAUAUUAAUGUGAUGGGAAUUACCUUAAUAGGAAACAAUUGAGUAUACACUGUAUUACAUAAGUGAGGCUUAAAAAAAAAUAACAUUGAGUUCCGGGCAUUUUUUUUCUUCCUUGGAAAAUGCCUUGAAAUCUUUUCCAUCAACACAGUCUAACAGUACAGGUUAUGGGUGACAUAUAGUUUCAAGGCAAAUUGCAACUUAGUUGGUCAAACUCUUUCAGUAGGAAAAAAAAAUGACAAUUUGAAAGAGUUCUGGAAGGGCUAACACUAAACAGUUCCAUCUUGACCUCAAACCAAUGCAAUCUGCAAACAAGUCAAUAUGUGAACCCAAAGGAAGAAUUCUGCCCCAGCCUAAGAAAGGGACAACUUUUCCUUCUCUGGAAUUGAAAUGUUCCAUGAAAUUAAAUCAUUGAUUAAAAGCUGGGGAGGCAAAGACUGUUGAAAUGUCAGUUAAGAUACUUUAGGCUGCAAAUCUGAUUCACCAUUGCUUAAACGAUAAGAAAUGGUAUCUGCACAGCUGGAAGUCCAGGAUGGGAUGGCUUCAAGUUUGGCUCUAUCCAGGGACUGUCUCUCAAUUUUCUGUUUAGUGGGUGUUGUCCUAGGCUGGCUUCACUCAAGGGGAUAAAAGUAAGUAUGGUCCUCCCAGGCCUUAUAUCCAUCUACACAACAUCCUGGGGAAGAGGUUUCUGGAACCUCUAGUACUAAUCCAUAUACCAUGGGAAUAACAGGUACUGAUUGGCUUCAACCUGAAUUCCUUAAAUUAAUUUUGUGAAAAGGAGGCUGGGAUGACCUUGAUUGAGUUAAAAUAGUCAGGGCUCCACCUGUGGAGUGGAGGAUGAGAUCAGUUUCCUACAAUCCACAUCCUACACAAUGGGUGAGGGAUGGAAGGAAUGCUGGAGACUACCACAUGCCCCCCGAUAUUCAUGAAAUCUUGGUCUUUUGUGUUUCACAAUAAACUCUUAAGAACAUUGUGAGUAUUUUAUGGAUGUGAAGGUUUUUCAGAGGAAUUUAUUGUAGGGAAAACAAAAAGAUCAAUGAGUUUAAGCUUUUAGGCUUAAACUCUCUCUGCUCCCCUGCAUUACACUUUUAUUCUUAUGCUGUGACAGCAGACCCUCCUCCCCU